rnacentral:lncRNA from 1 species
UUUGAUUGAUUAUAAUUAAACACCACAUAAGACAUUCGAAGAGGUACCAUACAAAAGUAUUGGUUAGAAAAUAUGCUACUCAAAUAUCUUUACAAGUUACUAGAAUACAAUGGAUAUCUUCAAAUCCAAAUAUAAUUUACAUUUAAACUAAUCAAUAUAUGAAUUACAGAGCAUUAAAUGCAUUGCUAAGCAUUGAUAAAGCCAAAAUUCGAAAGCAUGCCUUCACGAACAGUCCAUAUUCCUGCACCAACUCAGCUUCAGACCCUCCACUUCGAAAUCAUGCCUAGACCUCAAUAUAACUCUGAAUUCCACCAAAUCGACACCCAGACGAAGAUAAUUUCGUUAGCUAUCCAUAGAAACAAACCACACUAAGUUCAGANNN